rnacentral:lncRNA from 1 species
GUGUGGCUUUGUGGACAGAAUCUGUAUGUUCUGUGCAGUACAAAACAGAAAAGAACAAGGAAAAAUUCAAAAUGAAUAGGUCAUUUGAAAGAAAUAUAGUAAGUUUUCAUGUGAUUGUUUUCAAUAUAGUAUUCUCGGCAAAAGAAUGCAAGUCAUCAUCUAAAACGUAACAUGUUCAGAUUGGCCGUAUCUCAUCAUUUAUUUCUUUUGUAAAAGAGCAAAUGGGAUGUAUUUUUAGGUGUUUCUUUGUGCAAGUUCCUAGCAAAUCCUGUUGGGAUAGCAUUAGAAAUAAUAAUGAAAUGAGCUGUAGGUAAUGGUAUAACUCUUGGAAAGUUUUUAAAUGUGAGGCUGUGAAAAUGUGUCCUUUGAAGGAUCAGCAAGCCUGUGGCAUUGUCUGUGAAAAUGGAAAGAAUUGAUAAGGCUUCUGUGCUUUUGAUCUUUAUCAGGUUUGCAAUGAUUCCUAUUUUAUAAGGUGACAUAUUUUUAGCCUUGUUGCAGGGAGAAAUGUUCUGUUUUUCCUCAGAAAGCUGGCAGAAAACCAUUUUCCGACCUUGUCUGCUUCAUUUAUCUACAUGUAGAUAUUAAACCUGUCUCAUCUCAAAGGCCCACAAACACCUUGUCAAUAAAGUAGUAAAUUAAACACUGGCAUAAAAACAUUACCCUGUAAAAUUUCUCAUUUGCAGCCGACUAUAUUUGCCACUUUCAGGCAUAGCAUUUUAACAUUUAGUAAAUUUUAAAUAACAUAAGAUUUAUUUUAUUGAGAAACAAUUCAACAUUGAAUAAUGUCAUUUAUUUUAUUUUUUAAAGAAUUAUUUCAAUACAGUAUGUAUUUCCUAUGGGUGGGGGAGGACAUCAGGUGCAUUUGCUAGGUUUUACAUGGCAUCUUCUAGGAGGGGUAAGUUUACAUUUUAUACAGUUGUAUUCCCUUUCAUCACCAAUCAAAGCUUAGCGAAAUAUCAGUCACAAAUUUCACAACCGGAGAAUUUGUUUUGCCAUGUUAGACAUAAAAUAUUGGAGACCCUUUCUGUGUUCUUCCAGCUUUUCUUCAUAUCCUUGGUAAGGCAGCAUGUAGUAGCUCUGAAACAGGAGAUGUUUCUUUGGUAUUACUACUUGGAAGAGCUGUUUGCAAGCUUAUUUGCUUCCAUGUUAUGUUCAUAAGCAGGAAAAUAUAAUUUAUUUCUGCAUAUCUGCUAUCCCGGACAAAUCAAGGUGACAAUCCGUGGUUAGCUCUGUCAGGCCCUUUGUCCUAGCGCUGCUGUGAAUGGAAGUACAAUGGGAGCAAAGUGAAUAUAUAACAGUCCAGCUGCCUUGUUGUGACAGCCCUGUCCCUCCAUAGCAGUGUGUCAGUUCAUGUUUGUGUACCAGUAGCCAGUUCAUAUGAUGACAAUGCAAAUUGUCUGAGAAGUCUCCUAGCAGAUAACAAAUUAAGCUGGGGCUUGAGGUGUAGGGAGGAGAGGAAAGGGGAGCUUGGGCACAUGUCUUUGGAAAAUAAUGACCCGUAAAAGGUUAUAUUUUGGUACAGUGAUUAUAUUUCAUCGCAGGACCGUUAUCCCAAUUUUGGCAAGUGUCUCAAAGACGCAGGUAGGCGCUUACACUUAAAUCGAUCAUACCAUUUCUGUGUGCAAGGUUCGGCAUUAAUGUUGCUUCCUGAGCUGUUUAUAUUUCAUUUACGCAUGCAAUUAAUCAUCUUUACUGUGUUGAUGCUACUGGCGUCAGCAGUGCAACUUAAUUAAAUUUGAAAUUAUAGUACAGUAAAUAUAGGCUUCCAACUAGCCAGGCCAAAUUAAAUGCUGUGGUCUAUUUCUUACCCAUGGUGUUUUCCAAUUUAAGUGUUCAUUUGAAAGGUUACUUUUCAGAUUAAAUUCGUUUUCCUUUUCUGUUUUUUUUUUAUUAUUAUUAUUUAACUGUUGCUAACCUAGAAUAGUUCUCUUUCAACAUGUACUUUGUUCCUCUUUAUCAUAUCUAGCCACAGCUUUAUGAAUAUAAUGUAAUCCAUGGGUAUUGCAUUACCUAUAAUCUUUUUCUCGUCAGAUGUUACAGUUUCUGUAAGAAAUGUUUUUUCCUCCUGAUAAAUUUUCUACUUCUCUAUGAUAUGCCACCUGGGCUGCUUUUAAAAGGCCUCACCUCCAUUUUGUUUCAGGCUGGUAAUCAAGCAAUUAGCCCACAAAAUGGAGGGCCUCAGUCUUCUCUGUAUACCAUCUCUUAGAUUGUUGGUUUUACCUCUGUGAAACCAUAGAGAGAACACUUUACUGCUGAUCCCGUGAAACGGGCUUCUGAAGAAUGACACUUGGUUAGGAGAGACCAACCAUAGCAACUUAAGACUUUUACGUGGUACCAGUAGCGAACCAUCCUAUAAGCAAGACAUGCACAGUCCUGGUCUUACUGAUGAGAGUAAAGUUUAAGCUGCUUAUUCAAACAAUCCAAAGAUAAAGCUUAAAAGUAUAAAACACAGCUGACAUAAUUUCUUUAAAUGUUUAUUGUUUUCUGCAGUACACUGUUCUCCAAACAAUUCCUUCCAUGUCUAGCAAGGUGUGUGAAUAGAAAUCCCAUCACACUCCCCAUUAUGCAUACAACGCAGGGUUUGAAUCCUGAAAAAUUUGCCUGUAAAGUGCAGCAUAAGACUUGCGUGUAAAACGCACAUGCUUUUUUCUUUUUCUUUUUCUUUUUUUUUUUUAAUGCAGCGCUGCCAUGUCUGCACUUUUUGAAAUUGCAUAUUUAUCAGUUCAUGAAUUAUUCAUGAAAUUGGAAAAUGCUGGGGAGGGGGCUGUGCUAGGAGGAAGAAAAAGAACACACACACACACACACACACACACACACACAGGCACGCACACACAAUACAUAUAUGCUUGAAAUACUCGCGAGGUGCUUUUCACCUGUAUUCUAGCGAUUCUGCUAAAGACAGCUGCAGUUUGAAUUUUUAUUCCUGUGGGUUGCCUUUGUAUUCAAUAUUGUAUAUUUCUGACAUGCAAGAAUUAUUUUACUAUGUUAUCUGUAUGCUAUAGGGGAGAUUUGAAGAGUACAGUUUGUUUAAAAUUAAGGGUAAUAGGGACUACAAUGAGUGGUAUGUAUCAA